rnacentral:ribozyme from 1 species
UGUCCAACAACUCCUAUCUCUACCUCCACGCGACACCGGCCGGAAACUAUGAGCAACCUUAGGGAAGAUCGGGUAACCAACCCCGGUGGGAGCUUUGGUCGUAGGCUGACAGGGAAGG